AUGGGGCCGCCCUGGCUGGUCGCGGAUCGAUCUUCGAGGUGCCGCAGCGGUCGCUGGCUUUGCCACCUGCGGCGUCCCGGAGUCGCGCGCACAGUCCGUGAGGGGGCUGCGCGGAGUUGACGCCGAGUCGUCCCCUCAGGCAGUGGCCGCACCCGGGGACCUGCGUCUCGGGUCCGGGGCUGCGCCUCUCGCCGGCUUUUCCCUCACGGCACUCGGCUGGGGCUCCGAGGACCCAGUCGUAGGUGACCUUUGGGCUCCCUGCGGGAUCUGGGAAGACGUUGGCGUGUGUGGAGAAUGAUGCCUGAGCGGGAGAGUCUGAUUUCAGCCAGCGAAGAGCCUAGCCGGGAGUGAGGAUAUGAUUCCUACUCUAGGGUGAACACAGCAACAAGGUGCCAUCUUACCAGAGAGUAGCCCUUACCAGAGGCUGACUGACCUGCUGGUGCCUUGACCUUGGACUUCCUACC